AUUAAGAACUUUUUCAACAUGGUUUUUAACUGUUGCGUUAAUGGCUGUAACAAUUAUAACAAGGAUGCCCAAAUGCAUAUUUUUCCAAAAGAUCAAAUACUGUAUGAUAUUUGGAUUAAUGCAAUUGGCCGAGAAGACUUAAAGGUGAAGCCUAUGGAAAGAGUCCGAAAGUCGUACUGUAUUUGUACUAUUCACUUUAGUGCAGAUGCCCGCUAUGUUGGAACCAGAAAUUAAUCGACCUUAAAACAGGAUGUAAUUCCUUCUCUAUUUCUUAAUGCUUCUAACAGGAAAGAAGUUUCUUCUGCCAAAAUGGUUAAACUACGCUCAAAGCAUAGUUUAUCAGAGCAAAUAGGUUCACCUGAAGCAGAAACAAUUAACAUCUCCAUACCAUCAACUUCAAAAUUGAUUUGUGAAGAAGUUUUACCAGUUUCUUCAUCUAAACUUAUUACACCAGAACAAAAUAUGCAAUCCCAGGUCAUGAUGUGUACUCCAUCAAAAAUUUCAAGUUUAAACAAAUGAAUUUACAGAGGAUGUUUUUCGUUGUGAAGAUCAUGAUACGUUCAAAUCGUUUCUUUAUUAUGUUUCAAAAUUUCAUUUAUUUGUAUGGUUGAAAAACAUUAAUAAGAUUGUGAAAGGGAAACAAAAAGUUGAAAAAUCAUCAGAUAAGAUGAAAAUAUAUGCUGCACAAAAAUUUGAAAAGCAAUUAAAAUAUUCAAAAAAAAUGAAAAAUCUCAAAUGUUUGAAUAUAAUUUAAGUACCUAUCUAGUUAUAUACUUAGUGUUAAUAAAAAUAUAUUGUAGGGAAA